GAUGAACGCUGGCGGCGUGCUUAAUACAUGCAAGUCGAGCGAAGCACUUUAACGAAAUUCUUCGGAAGGAAGGUAAAGUGACUGAGCGGCGGACGGGUGAGUAACGCGUGGGUAACCUGCCUUAUACAGGGGGACAACAGCCUGGAAACGGCUGCUAAUACCGCAUAAGACCACAAGGCCGCAUGACCAAGGGGUCAAAGGAGCAAUCCCGGUAUAGGACGGGUUCGCGUCCCAUUAGCUAGUAGGCGGGGUAAAGGCCCACCUAGGCAACGAUGGGUAGCCGAGCUGAGAGGCUGAACGGCCACACUGGGACUGAGAUACGGCCCAG
rnacentral:rRNA from 1 species